CUCUCCCCCUCACCCCUCCCCCAUUUCAUCCCCACCCCACUGGCCGACUUCUCAGGCUCCUCCUCCCAGGGAAUAAAAUUACAAGUCUCUCCAGCUUUCAGAUGAUGGAUCCCCAGGAACCCCUGGGAGUGGGCUCCACAAAGGAGUCCCCUUCCUCGCCCUUGCCUUGCUGUCCCCCAGCUGGGGCCCUUGGAGGAAGCAGAUGUCGUUGCCCACUUCGGACUAGGCUGGUAUGAAGCCAGAAGACCUGGAGCACUUUGGGGGGCUGGGGCUGGAGCUGGCCUUCCAGGCCCCUGGUCUUCUGCGCCUGCGUUGCCCCCAGGGAGAAGUCAGAGCAAAUUCCAUUCCCUUUGGAGCCGUGCCUCUGGGGACUGUGGGCACAGCUGGAACCUUUAUGCUGAGCCUUCACACCCUCUCUUUUCCGCUGGAACCUCUCUGAGCCCUUACCCCGGGGCAACAUGCUUGAGCUCCUCACCCCGGCCUCCACACCUGAGCCAGCCGGUCAGGCCUCCCAACAGAACCCUGCGCCUGACGACCUGCAGCUUCUCCUUCAGUCGGGAUUCUUCCAUGGCAGGAAACCACACAGCCGACAGCAGCUGAGGUCUUACAUCACACGGGCUUAGUGGUAUGGGAGGAACAGAGAUAACCUUUUCCCUGCUUCUGUAUGGCUAAAUCCCAAAGAACGGCUCUGAUUGGC
rnacentral:lncRNA from 1 species